rnacentral:lncRNA from 10 species
GGGACAGUCUGGGGUUUGGCUGUCCGGACGGUGCAGCGGCGAGGCCGGCCGCGAAGAUGCCAGUGGCGGUGAUGGCGGAAAGCGCCUUUAGUUUCAAAAAGUUGCUGGAUCAGUGCGAGAACCAGGAGCUCGAGGCCCCUGGAGGAAUUGCUACACCCCCAGUGUAUGGUCAGCUUCUAGCUUUAUAUUUGCUCCAUAAUGACAUAAACUUUUAUGACCUCUAUUUACUUAACUUCAUAUAUAAUCAAUAAAACAAAAGAAGUGAAAAGAGAAGAUUGCAGCCAAGAGGAAUUCGUUACAAACAUGAAUAAUGCAAGAUAUCUUUGGAAAAGAAUACCACCUGCUAUAAAAUCUGCAAAUUCUGAACUUGGGGGAAUUUGGUCAGUAGGACAAAGAAUCUGGCAGAGAGAUUUCCCUGGGAUCUAUACAACCAUCAACGCUCACCAGUGGUCUGAGACGGUCCAGCCAAUUAUGGAAGCACUUAGAGAUGCAACAAGGAGACGCGCCUUUGCCCUGGUCUCUCAAGCGUAUACUUCAAUCAUCGCCGAUGAUUUUGCAGCCUUUGUUGGACUUCCUGUAGAAGA